rnacentral:rRNA from 1 species
UACAGAGGGUGCGAGCGUUAAUCGGAAUUACUGGGCGUAAAGCGCGCGUAGGCGGUUCGUUAAGUCAAAUGUGAAAUCCCCGAGCUUAACUUGGGAAUUGCAUUCGAUACUGGCGAGCUAGAGUAUGGGAGAGGAAGGUAGAAUUCCAGGUGUAGCGGUGAAAUGCGUAGAGAUCUGGAGGAAUACCGAUGGCGAAGGCAGCCUUCUGGCCUAAUACUGACGCUGAGGUGCGAAAGCAUGGGGAGCAAACAGG